rnacentral:piRNA from 1 species
UGGUUUCCCAGGCGUGUCUGCCUCUCUGA